rnacentral:lncRNA from 1 species
GAAAGAUGGCGCCUUCGAGCCUGGAAGUCCGAUGUUUUAAUGUAUUUAUUUAUUUAUUUAUUUGGUUACCUUCCUGUUCCAAGCUUCCACUGACUGUUGUCCCCCCCCCCCCAGGGUUUUAUUAUCAUGUUCUGUCUUUUUUUUUCUCUUCCCUCCUCCUGACUUGGGGACCUUUUUGGGGAGGGCUGCAAGGCUUGCUUGGGGUGUUGGGGCUCCGGUGGGACAGCUGCUAUAGCUCCCUUCUGUGGGGAGCCCCUUGCCUACUUGCUGGAGUGGCUCUAGGCUCUGCUGACUGUGUACCUAAGACAGAAAGGCAGUUCCGGUGUGGUGUGCCUUCCGGAUCCUCUCUGGGGUUGUGCUUUGAGCAGCGUGUAGCCCGCUGGUUUUUCUCUGAGAGAUACUGUACAGGGGAAUAAAAGAGAUCUUAUUUUUUUUUUUUAUACUUGGCAUUUUUUGAAUAAAAAAACCUUUUGUCUU